GGAGAGGUGCAAGAGUGGCUGAAUUGGCUCGCCUGGAAAGCGAGUGUUCCUUCAUCGGAACCGGGGGUUCGAAUCCCUUCCUCUCCGCCA
rnacentral:tRNA from 1 species